rnacentral:lncRNA from 1 species
CUUCACACAACACAUGUAAUACAUAAGGGAAAGAGAUACAUAGUUGGCUUACAAUCGCCACGUCACACAAUACAUGAAUAUAACAUUACAUCAACCAGAUACACACAAGAUCCGGCUACGGUACCAAAAUAAAAGAAGACUACCCCAAAAGCUACACAGAUCCCCGAUCCUCCCAACUGGGCUCCACUACUGAUCAACUGAAACGAAACAACACUACGAACAAGGUCUUCAUCGAGCUCCUCCUUGAGCUCUAUAGCACCAUCUGCUCGCUAUCAUCGGCACCUGCAAACUGGUUUUGGAAGUAUCUGUGAGUCACGGGGACUCCGCAAUCUCACACCCUCGCGAUCAAGACUAUUUAAGCUUAUAGGAAGAGGUAAAAGGUAUGAGGUGGAGCUGCAGCAAGUGACUAGCAUAUAUGGUGGCUAACAUACGCAAAUGAUAGCGAGAAGAGAAGGCAACGACACGAUCGUUCAACUAUGAUCAAGAAGUGAUCCUAGAACAACCUACGUCAAACAUAACUCCAACACCGUGUUCACUUCCCGGACUCCACCGAGAAGAGACCAUCACGGUUACACACACGGUUGAUGUAUUUUAAUUAAGAUAAACUUCAGGUUUUCUACAACCGGACAUUAACAAAUUCCCAUCUGCCCAUAACCGCGGGCACGGCUUUCGAAAGUUCAAUCCCUAGAGGGGUGUCCCAACUUAGCCCAUCACAAGCUCUCACGGUCAAUGAAGGAUAUUCCUUCUCCCAAGACAAUCCGAUCAGACUCGGCAUCCCGGUUACAAGACAUCCUCGACAAUGGUAAACAAGUCCAGCAAGACCGCCCGAUGUGCCGACAAAUCCCGAUAGGAGCUGCACAUAUCACGUUCUCAGGGCAACACCGGAUGAACACUACGAACAACUAAAACCAACCCUCAAGUUUCCCCGAGGUGGCGCUGCAAGUGGCUCUGUUUUGGACCAACACGCAGAGGAGCACUGGCCCGGGGGGUUAAAAUAAUGAUGACCCUCGGGAGCGCGACUCCCAAGGGAAAAGUAGGUGGUGGUGAGGCAAAUGAUAAACCAAGGUUGGGCCUUGCUGGAGGAGUUUUAUUCAAAGCGAACUGUCAAGGGGUUCCCAUUAUAACCCAACCGUGUAAGGAACGCAAAAAACGGGAACAUAACACCGAUAUGACGGAAACUAGGGCGGCAAGAGUGAAACAAAACACCGGGCAUAAGGCCGAGCCUUCCAACCUUUACCAAGUAUAUAGAUGCAUUAAUUAAAUAAGAGAUAUUGUGAUAUCCCAACAAAAUAUCCAUGUUCCAACAAGGAACAAACUCCAAUCUUCACCUGCAACUAACAACGUUAUAAGAGGGGCUAAGCAAAGCGGUAACAUAGCCAAACAACGGUUUGCUAGGACAAGGUGGGUUAGAGGCUUGGCUUAACAAUAUGGGAGGCAUGAUAAGCAAGUGGUAGGUAUCGCAGCAUAGGCAUAGCAAAAGAGCGAGCAACUAGCAAGCAAAGAUAGAAGUGAUUUCGAGGGUAUGGUCAUCUUGCCUGAGAUCCCGCAAGGAAGAAGAACGAGUCCAUGAAGAAGACAAACGGACGUAGUCAACGUAUCCUCCCAAACUCAACGUUACCGGAUUACCGAGAAGAAGUACACCGGAAAGAAAGCAAACAACAUAGUGAACAAACAUCACAUAAGCAUGGCACGAUGCGCAAACAAAUAUGAUGCAUGUCCGGUUUAAUGAGGCAUGGCAUGGCAAAGUGCACAAACAACCCUACAAAUUAAGUGAAGCUCAAUAUGCAACUCCGUUGCAUAUUGACGGAACACCACAUUCAAGUUAUUUAGUUCGAUCUCGUUUAUGUACCCAACAACAUUAAAUGUUGAUUAACAUGGCAAGGGGUGAAGCAAAUGAAAACUACUUAUCUAGGCAAGUUUAAAUGAGGCCGGAACAACAAACAACAAGUCCGGAAACUCCUCAUGCGCAAAUUUUAAGGUUUGGUACUGUUCUGCCCUACACACAAUUUUAAAGUUGUUAAACAUGCAAAGUAAGGUCACCAUGAUAAACUAGGAAUUUUUCUACCCCAUUGACAUAUAAAGUUUGUUAGGUUUGAAGCUACGGUUGUUUAGUUAUGAAUUAAAGCAUUUUAGCAUGUUAUUUAAGCAAAAUAAAGAAAACAUCAUUUUAAACAUUUUUUAACAUGGAUGAAAGUUGCAAAUUAUUAAUCUACACAAAAUUAUAAGCAUUUUACAUAUUAAGUUUGUUCAAUUUGCAUGCACGGUUGGUGAGAUAUUAAAUGCAUGAAGUUUAGGUUUUUUUAACAAAACAGAAAAUCCCAGGAAUAAAGCUAAUUUCGCUGGAACUGGCAAAAAAACACGCACAGGCCGGUUUGUAGCAUACCGCAGCAGCCCAAGAGGAUUUGGCCCAAGUGGUUGAGUGACUGUUUGGCAAAAAAAUAAAUAAAGGAAACAGGGCAGCCUGGGACUUGAACACAGGACCUCCUGAUGUGUCUUCGAGGGAACAACCAGUAAGCUAGCCGAUCUGCUUGUGGUGGAACAUAGUGACAACUCUGAAAUAACCUAUACACCAGAACGGAUCUAGGAACAAAAUAAAGCUUCAGUUAUGGAGGAAGUUGCUCACAGCGGGAAAACAGAGGCCGACGGCCAUGGCGAUUCUGGCCCUUGGUUGGCUGGGUAAGCGGAAGGAGUUGGGCGCCCCUAAACUUGCGGCCCUUGCGCACACGCGGGCGCUGGCAGGGACGAACGAGGCGCUGGGGAGCCACUAGAUCAGCUGCACGCAGUGAUACAGAGCAGCGAUAGAACUUGGCGCGGCUUCAGCAGGAUCGCGGAACAGACGAAGGUCGGGAGGGCAGCAGUGGCUGGACCCAGGCACGAGCGUGGCAGGGUUGGCGGCGCGGACGACGCGGAGAUGGUUGGAUCCAGGCGGCGAGGCGCUGAAACCCCACUUGGACGAGGCAGGGAAGGCCGGUGACGAGUUUUCUGCAUGGAGAUAGCGAUGAGGGAUUAGAGAUGAGAGAGACCUCGGGGAGGAAAAUAGAGGAGGAAGAGGAUGCGACGGGACCCGGGGCUUCGGCCGUCGAUGGUGGUGAGGCUCGCCGGCGACGAGGCGAGGAAGAGGGGGUUUGUCAGCGCGGGGACGCCCUGGAUUGAGCGGGAGGAGGCUGACUGCGAGGGGAUCGAUGGAGGUAGGUGGCGGUGCUGGGUUGGCUCGGGAAAGAGUGAGGGGAUCCCGAGGAAGAUUUUUGGAGCGGCGGCGGCAGGGAGGGAGAAACC